rnacentral:piRNA from 1 species
UGAAGAGAAUUUACUUCUUCUAGGGUUCCCC